GACGAACGCUGGCGGCGUGCCUAAUACAUGCAAGUCGAACGGUUUAGUUCCAAGAGGCGUGCCUGUUGGGACUAGGCAGUGGCGGACGGGUGAGUAACACGUAGGCAACCUACCUGUCAAACCGGGAUAACCUCGGGAAACCGAAGCUAAACCCGGAUAAGCUCCUUUUUCGCAUGAAGGGGGAGUGAAAAGGUGCGACCUGAUGACAGAUGGGCCUGCGGCGCAUUAGCUAGUAGGUAGGGUAACGGCCUACCUAGGCGAUGAUGGGUAGCCGACCUGAGAGGUCGGACGGCCACACGGGGACUGAGAUACGGCCCUGACUCCUACGGGAGGCAGCAGUAGGGAAUCUUCGGAAAUGGGCGAAAGCCUGACCGGGCAACGCCGCGUGAGUGAGGAAGGCCUUCGGGUUGUAAAACUCUGUUGUUUGGGAAGAAGGGAAAGGGUAGGACCCUUUGGUGACGGUACCAACCGAGAAAGCCCCGGCUAACUACGUGCCAGCCGCCGCCGUAA
rnacentral:rRNA from 1 species